rnacentral:rRNA from 1 species
AUUGAACGCUGGCGGCAGGCCUAACACAUGCAAGUCGAACGAGUGGCGGACGGGUGAGUGAUUUCUGGGAACCUGCCUGAUGGAGGGGGAUAACUACUGUAAACGGUAGCUAAAACCGCUUACCGUGCGAUGGGCCCAGAUGGGAUUAGCUAGUGGGUGUGGUAAAGGCUCACCUAGGCGACGAUGCCUAGCUGGUCUGAGAGGGUGACCAGCCACACUGGAACUGAGACACGGCCCAGACUCCUACGGGAGGCAGCAGUGGGGAAUAUUGCACAAUGGGCGCAAGCCUGAUACAGCCAUGCCGCGUGUAUGAAGAAGGCCUUCGGGUUGUAAAGCACUUUCAGCGGGGAGGCGUUACCCGCAGAAGAAGCACCGGCUAACUCCGUGCCAGCAGCCGCGGUAAUUC